UAGCAUAUCAAUAAGCGGAGGAAAAGAAACUAACAAGGAUUCCCCUAGUAACUGCGAGUGAAGCGGGAAAAGCUCAAAUUUAAAAUCUGGCGGUCUUCGGCCGUCCGAGUUGUAAUCUAGAGAAGUGUUAUCCGCGCUGGACCGUGUACAAGUCUCCUGGAAUGGAGCGUCAUAGAGGGUGAGAAUCCCGUCUUUGACACGGACUACCAGGGCUUUGUGAUGCGCUCUCAAAGAGUCGAGUUGUUUGGGAAUGCAGCUCAAAAUGGGUGGUAAAUUCCAUCUAAAGCUAAAUAUUGGCGAGAGACCGAUAGCGAACAAGUACCGUGAGGGAAAGAUGAAAAGAACUUUGGAAAGAGAGUUAAACAGUACGUGAAAUUGCUGAAAGGGAAACGCUUGAAGUCAGUCGCGUUGGCCGGGGAUCAACCUUGCUUUUGCUGGGCGUACUUUCCGGUUGAUGGGUCAGCAUCAAUUUUGACCACUGGAUAAAGUCUAGAGGAAUGUGGCAUCUUCGGAUGUGUUAUAGCCUUUGGUCGCAUACAAUGGUUGGGAUUGAGGAACUCAGCACGCCGCAAGGCCGGGUACUUGUACCACGUUCGUGCUUAGGAUGCUGGCAUAAUGGCUUUAAUCGACCCGUCUUGAAACACGGACCAAGGAGUCUAACAUGCCUGCGAGUGUUUGGGUGGCAAACUCGGACGCGUAAUGAAAGUGAAAGUUGAGAUCCCUGUCGUGGGGAGCAUCGACGCCCGGACCAGACCUUUUGUGACGGAUCCGCGGUAGAGCAUGUAUGUUGGGACCCGAAAGAUGGUGAACUAUGCCUGAAUAGGGUGAAGCCAGAGGAAACUCUGGUGGAGGCUCGUAGCGAUUCUGACGUG
rnacentral:rRNA from 1 species